AGAUUAAAGAUAAACUGUAAUACAAAAAAUAUAUCAUAUAAAAUAUAUACCUUUUUAACAUAUUUAAUUCUACAAUAAAAACCUUAAUCAUGGGUCAAAGAAUAUUUUGAAAACUUUAACUGAUUACUUUAAUACAAAAAAAUUUGACAUUUAAAGAAUUGAUACACAUUUUUCAAACUAUAAAACUUUCAAUAUUUAAAGAAUCAAAAUAAAAGCUAAAACUUUUAAGAAAGGUAGGGAAACCUACCUCUUGUCAAUAGGGUGUAACUCCUCAUUCUCUUGUCAACAGGGUGUAACUCCUCGUUCCUCCCGCU
rnacentral:lncRNA from 1 species